GGCUUCGGCUACCACUUACAGAUGGACCCGCGGCGCAUUAGCUAGUUGGUGAGGUAACGGCUCACCAAGGCGACGAUGCGUAGCCGACCUGAGAGGGUGAUCGGCCACACUGGGACUGAGACACGGCCCAGACUCCUACGGGAGGCAGCAGUAGGGAAUCUUCCGCAAUGGACGAAAGUCUGACGGAGCAACGCCGCGUGAGUGAUGAAGGUUUUUCGGAUCGUAAAGCUCUGUUGUUAGGGAAGAACAAGUGCCGUUCAAAUAGGGCGGCACCUUUGACGGUACCUAACCAGAAAGCCACGGCUAACUACGUGCCAGCAGCCGCGGUAAUACGUAGGUGGCAAGCGUUGUCCGGAAUUAUUGGGCGUAAAGGGCUCGCAGGCGGUUUCUUAAGUCUGAUGUGAAAGCCCCCGGCUCAACCGGGGAGGGUCAUUUGGAAACUGGGGAACUUUGAGUGCAGAAGAAGGAGAGUGGAAUUCCACGUGUAGCGGUGAAAUGCGUAGAGAUGUGGAGGAACACCAGUGGCGAAGGCGACUCUCUGGUCUGUAACUGACGCUGAGGAGCGAAAGCG
rnacentral:rRNA from 1 species